ensembl:lncRNA
CCUUGGUCUGGUGUCAACCAUCCUGCUCCUCGGGACUCCACUCCUCUGGCUUUGCCUCGUUCCUUCAUCCCUCUGGUUCCAUCAGGCUCCUUGUGUUUCCUCCACAUAGUCAUUGUGCUAUGUGUUUCCUCCUGUGGAUUAUUAAAAGGAAGGAAAGUUAUCUUGGUUGUAAUGACAUGAGGUGGUCUGAUGGUCUGGCAUGAAACCCAAAUGAACUGGACAGAGUUGGGACAAACUGUUCUAGCCGUAGUGUCUGUCUCUCCACGUACAGCUAAGCUCUCAUGAAGGGCUUAUGAGACAGACUGUUUAACAUACAUAAAACAUGCUCAAAUUCUCUCUCUCACACACAUAUAC